CGAUAUCUAGGAGUUCUGAGAUGAUAAAUCAAAGAUGGGUAUAUGAUGAUAUACUGAUUGGCUUUAGUCCAAGUGGGAGUUAUUGGAAAAUAUAUCCUAAAGUCAAUCAUUUGAUGAUUGCGCUAAUUAUAAAUGUAAAAUAAAUUGAUCAAUAAUAAAAGUUAUUUGAUUUUUUUUCAUCAUAAAGUUACAUCUUUUAAUGAAC
rnacentral:lncRNA from 1 species